rnacentral:rRNA from 1 species
CCUACGGGAGGCAGCAGUGAGGAAUCUUGGUCAAUGGCCGCAAGCCUGAACCAGCCAAGUCGCGUGAGGGAUGACGGUCCUAUGGAUUGUAAACCUCUUUUGUCAGGGAGCAAAGGGCGCCACGUGUGGCGCUUUGCGAGUACCUGAAGAAAAAGGAUUGGCUAACUCCGUGCCAGCAGCCGCGGUAAUACGGAGGAUGCGAGCGUUAUCCGGAUUUAUUGGGUUUAAAGGGUGCGCAGGCGGAAUGUUAAGUCAGCGGUAAAAUUUCGGGGCGAAACCCCGUCGUGCCGUUGAAACUGGCGUUCUUGAGUGAGCGAGAAGUAUGCGGAAUGCGUGGUGUAGCGGUGAAAUGCAUAGAUAUCACGCAGAACUCCGAUUGCGAAGGCAGCAUACCGGCGCUCAACUGACGCUGAUGCACGAAAGCGUGGGUAUCGAACAGGAUUAGAUACCCCGGUAGUC